GAUGAAGAACGUAGCGAAAUGCGAUACGUAGUGUGAAUUGCAGAAUUCAGUGAAUCAUCGAAUCUUUGAACGCACAUUGCACCUCUCGGUAUUCCGGGAGGUAUGCCUGUUCGAGCGUCAUUUGUACCCUCAAGCUCUGCUUGGUGUUGGGUGUUUGUUCCGCCUCUGUGUGUGAACUCGCCUCAAAACAAUUGGCAGCCGGCGUACUUGUUUCGGAGCGCAGCACAUUUUGCGAUCCAGAUCAACGUACAGCGGCAUCCAAGAAGCCUUAUUUAACGCUCUUGACUUCGGAUCAGGUAGGGAUACCCGCUGAACUUAAGCAUAUCAAUAAGCGGAGGA
rnacentral:misc_RNA from 1 species